rnacentral:lncRNA from 1 species
UGAAUUAUAGAGAAUCUUGUUUACUUCUGUUUAAAUUUAAUACUGAACUCUACUGGAUUCACUGACAAGAUGACUUUGAAUUAGCAGCACUCUGAGAAUGGAGACAGUGUUUGAAGAGACGGAUGAAGAAAGCACAGGAGGAGUUUCAUCUUUGGAAGAAGAAAUAGUCCUUGGCCAGAGACCCCAUACAAGCUUUCCUUUUAGCAUUCUCUUCUCAACUGUUCUCUACAGUGGUGAGGUUGCCUUUGGUUUAUAUAUGUUUGAAAUUUAUCGAAAAGCUAAUGACAGAUACUGGAUGUCAUUUACCAUCAGCUUUAUUAUUGUGGGGGUAAUUUUGGAUCAAAUUAUCCUGAUGUUUUUCAACAAAGAUUUGAGGAGAAAUAAGGCUGCAUUACUUUUUUGGCACAUUCUUCUUUUAGGACCUAUUGUGAG